rnacentral:rRNA from 1 species
GAUGGACGCUAGCUACAGGCUUAACACAUGCAGGUCGAGGGGCAGCAUGGGCUUAGCUUGCUAAGCCCGAUGACGACCGGCGCACGGGUGAGUAACACGUAUCCAACCUUCCGGUAACUCCGGUAUAGCCUUUCGAAAGAAAGAUUAAUCCCGGAUAGUAUGGUGACUCCGCAUGGUUUCUCCAUUAAGGGAUUCCGGUUACCGACGGGGAUGCGUUCCAUUAGGCAGUUGGCGGGGUAACGGCCCGCCAAACCUACGAUGGAUAGGGGUUCUGAGAGGAAGGUCCCCCACAUUGGAACUGAGACACGGUCCAA